rnacentral:lncRNA from 1 species
GACAGGGAAGACCGAAGAGAUCAGUUUAUUUUUUCCUAUUUUUGAGGAUUAGGGUAACAUGGGAGCUCAUUUUCGGACCUGUUGAAUUUGAGAUACGUAUUGGUGGCAAGGACAAGAACGCAAUUAAAUAAAUGACUUUGGAGUCUUAUGAGAGGACAAGGUUGGAGUUACCAGUUUGAGAGAGAUCAGUAUGUAGAUGAUUUUAAAGCCAUGCGGCUGAAUAAGAUCUUCACAGAGGAAAACACAGGAAAGAAAUUCAAGGACCGGACUAGAGACACUCAAAACAUAUAAAGUCUGAGAAACACAGAGGAACCAGCAAAGGAGACAGAAAGAGUGGCCAGUGAGGCAGGAAGAAAGCUAGAGGAGGUUGGGACCAUAGACACUGAGUGAGGAAGGGAAGACCUGCCCACCUAUGUCAUGGAGACUGCAAACGACAUAGAUGACAUGCAGACUGCAGAAUAACCACAGGAGUCAGCAAUGGCGCGGCCAUUUGUGAGCUUCACAGUUUUUGUGGUGUAGUGGGGGUAUAAGCCUGAUUGGACUGGGUUAAAGAGAAAAGGAAGUCAAGGAAGUGGAAAGUGGACGGACAGCUUUCAAGGAUUUUGCUGAGCAGAGGGGCAGAUAAUUGGAACCAAGAGAAGAAAGUGGGGUCCAUAGCGGUGGCAUAGGUCAUCAGAUGGAUGUAGGAUGGGGAAGGGUACAGAAGAUUUGAUGAGCAAAUGGAGGGCAUGAAACAGCCAUCUCGUUACAAAAGAGAAAAAAAGAAGCACAGAAAACGUGAAACAAGUGGAAGAUAAAAAGAAAGCUUGUAUUAAACAAAUUCAGAUAUAGCGAUGAUCACACAAAUUGAGAGUGGACUAAGCAAAUUGAACAAUCUGAGGUUUUUUAGAUAGGAUUAAAUAAGAACCACUAUACACUAUUGUCAAGACAUGGCUAAACAGCUGAAGAGAAUGGACACAAACAGAUGCUUCCAUAAUAGACAAAACAAAGCUGAGCAGCAAUAUUAUUAUUAAUAAUAAGUAAAAUAUCAUAAUCUUGAAGGUGAAAAGCAUUAUUACAUGUAGGAAUAUGAAGAAUUUAAAUGACCAGGAGGAAUUUUCCACUCAAAGACCCCUAAGAAAACAAGCUCUGCAGAUAUGCAGCAGAUAUUGGAAGAUGGACAAAGAGAAAUGGACACAUUUGCCAUCUUGCUGGGAAACUCUGACAUACCUCUCUUAGCCAUAGAUAACAGAAAAAUAUUAGUAAACACAUAGCAGAUUUGAAUCACACAAUUCCAAAAUUUGGUUGAACAGAAAUGUAUCAUACCCUGAAACUGACUACUAGAAAAUAUGUGUUAUUUCAGGUGUACAUUAACAAAAUGCGACCAUUAAUUAAAUCACAAAGUAAACUUCAAUACAUUUCAAAAAAUGCGUAACACAGAGACUACAUUAUGUGAUUGCAGUUAAAUUUGAAAUUGUCAUAAAAGAUAAGGAAAACAUUUCAUAUGAUUGUAAAUGUCAGAACAAUUCUGCUUAAUUUAUGGAUCAAAGAAUAAAUCAAAAUGAGAAUUAAAAUGUAUGAAACAUUGAAAGAUAAUUCAAAUACUAUGAAUUAAAACUGGUAGUCUCCAUACAGG